rnacentral:tRNA from 1 species
CGGGGUGUGGGCCAGUGGCUAGGCCGCCUGCUUUGGGAGCAGGACAUCUUCAUGGGUUCGAGUCCCAUCACCCCGA